rnacentral:rRNA from 1 species
UACGUAGGGUGCAAGCGUUAAUCGGAAUUACUGGGCGUAAAGCGUGCGCAGGCGGUUUUGUAAGUCUGACGUGAAAUCCCCGGGCUCAACCUGGGAAUUGCAUUUGAAACUGGGGAACUAGAGUGUGUGAGAGGGGGGUAGAAUUCCAAGUGUAGCGGUGAAAUGCGUAGAGAUGUGGAGGAACACCGAUGGCGAAGGCAGCCCCCUGGGUCAAGAUUGACGCUCAUGCACGAAAGCGUGGGGAGCAAACAGG